rnacentral:rRNA from 1 species
UACAGAGGUCUCAAGUGUUGUUCGGAUUCAUUGGGCGUAAAGGGUGCGUAGGUGGCGGGGUAAGUCAGGUGUGAAAUCUCGGAGCUCAACUCCGAAACUGCACUUGAUACUGCCUUGCUCGAGUACUGGAGAGGAGAUUGGAAUUUACGGUGUAGCAGUGAAAUGCGUAGAUAUCGUAAGGAGGGCCAGUGGCGAAGGCGAAUCUCUGGACAGUUACUGACACUGAGGCACGAAGGCCAGGGGAGCAAACGGG